AAAUAAAGAUAGCAAUCCACAAAGGAAUUAAAUACUGAUCUCAACAAAAGCCACCCUGUAUUAAUCUACAAAAGCAAACAGCCUAGACAGCAACAAUGGAAGCUUUUCUGGCCUGCUUUUUUUCUCUCUGGACCCAGAGAAGCAGCUAUUUUAGAGACUCUUCUGGUACCACUGAGAGUGUGAACUUUCAUAGACGCUAAUGUGAUUCACUCCAAUGAAGCUCUCAGAUCCAAAAUACUAAUCUUAAGAGUCAGAUGAGAGCUUGCUGCCGCAAUGGAUUCCAAAAGCAAACCUGUAUGAGAUCAGGAGUCAGCUGAUGCUGGAGUGUCUGCCUGCACCUGCAGUUGCAGCAGGGAUGUGAAGCAAAGUACAUCACACUGCAAUGAGGAAGCAUAACAGGGUUACCUGGUAUGGUCAAAGAAGUUAGCUCCAGUUGGAUGUGGCGUUCAUGAUACUUCAUUUGUGAUAUGAGAGGCUCAGGACUUGUUCAUAUAACAAGAUCAAUGUCUGAGAUUCAAUUUUUUCAUUCUUUUGUGGGAUCACAGAAAAAGGUCUGACAAAGGGCUUGAUGAACUGAACACAAAGGAGAAGAAUAAUGAGAACAGAGGCCUAAAUGGUUACGUGAGUUACUGCUUUCCACUUCCUUCCUGACCAGAGCUCUUGGGACUGGCUAAUAGAAGAUCUCUGCAGUGAAGCCCAUCUACGACAUGGCAGGGACAUUGUUUGUCUCUGGCAAAUGAAUUGUUGCUUGUAACAGGUGAAGAUGAAUUGGUACGGACAAUAGGAAGCUGUGUGUAUAGUAGUAAUUACAUCAGUGUUGGUGGUCUUAUGUCAGGGGAUCUCUCUCAGUAAUAUGUGCAACAGGAGGACAUGAAGCUGGUCUCUGGAAAGGAGGUAUGCAAGAAAACUUCUGAGCUUGUGCCAGACCCCUAUGAAAUCAAAGUUGCAGUUAUAGUGUCACCCUUGGGGUGUGAAGGCCUGAACUCCCAACAUCUCCAGGAGUGCAG